AGUGGCCAGAGUGACCCCAACAGAGUGUCCAGGGACUCAGGCCUCUGAUCAAGUUACCCCCAGAGGAUCAGAGAGGUAGAGAGAGCUGAACCUCUCAUUUAGGAGGGCCGGGGAGGAGAGAGAAUUCUUGAGAUCGCAUUCCCAGGCUCAAAUAGAGGAGGGAAGUGGACAAAGACGUCGUGAAGGGGUUGACGAAGGAGAAGCAUUCAGAGGGCACUGGCUUCUGGACAGCAAUGAGUUCCCGGGCCACACGGCCCCGAAGCCGGCGAGGGAGGCAUGCUCCACCCGGUGAACUGGAUCCCGUGGCUGAGAGUUCAGAGGAGGUCGAGGCAGCCAGUGGGAGCUCCAAACCUAGCUUUGCCCCACCUCCAGUGAGCUCCGGGCUGGAGCAGCUGGGCCCCAUAGAGGAGGUCAGUGGCCAAGGCCAAGGAAGCAGGUAAGACCCGCUUGGUCUGUGCCCUUCAGUCCAGACGCAUCUUUGCCAUCCACAGAUCUGCUGAUGUGCCCGCUGUACUCACUCACCUACCAUAGCUCCCUAUUGCCUUCAGCCUGACUUUCUUUUUUUUUUUUGAGUCUUGCUCUGUCACCCAGGCUG
rnacentral:sRNA from 1 species